GCUUCCGCCGGUUUCCAUUCCACCCCCCAGACAGAUUCAGUGACAGACUCGCCGACCGCCCACACCGACCCAGACAACCCACAGAUUGAUUUGCAGGCAGCGAUGCCGCCGGUGGUCUCGAGAUCCGACAGGAUAGUUCGCCGGACGGCGAUGGUCGGCGCCGCCACCGCCGCCUACUUGCUCCUCACCGCCGACUACGGCCCCAACUACCCCAACCCCAUAAGGAAGCGCAUGGAAUCGUUGGCGCUCUUCUCCGAACCAGACAGGAGUGGUGUCCACCAGGCUCAACAAGCUGAUACUAAUUCGAAGCCAGAUGGAAAGUAGUAUCGGUGCAUAUCAGUUUCCCCUUGUUUCCUUGUUUCCAUGUCCAUGCAUAUUCAUCUAGGAGAGGAACCC